AAUCAGAACAUUUUUAUUUCACAUUAAACUUAAUAUUUUUAAUCAGGAAUGUUUCUCAUAUCUGUUCUAUCCUGCAGCACAACAUUAUGGCUUCAGUUCAUAUUGACAUCCUCCGUCCAGUCAGAAAGUGUCAAAAAGACAAGAAGCUGAGUUCUGCAUUCAAGCAUAUUGAUGGGAAGUUAAUUGGAAGGAAAAACUCAGGAAGCCAGAGUGGAACAGAAGUGACCCACGAGGAAAAGCCAGAAGGGAGACACAGGAAGACAGCAGGGAAACGGGGAAGAAACGGAAGGAUCCAGCAAGGAGUGACUGAGAAAGAGGUGCGGUCGUCCAGAAACGCCUACGAUGACGCGCGUGUCCAAUCAUGUUGGAGUUGAUUUGGUUCGUCCAAUCAGGUGAGGCUGAUCUCCUUUGUGCUGCAGCAAUUCAAGCUAAAGGAGCCCAGACCAAACACUGAACACAUUUUAAAUCUGGGACCAGAUUUAUGAAUCCAAUCUAUUGGUGUGAUGUCAUAUUUUAUUUUAUAUGACAGUAUCUGUAAGCCAAAACCAUUAAAUGUAGGAAUAACAUGAAUGAAUUCACUUCAUUGA